rnacentral:rRNA from 1 species
AUUGAACGCUGGCGGCAGGCCUAACACAUGCAAGUCGAGCGAGCGGCGGACGGGUGAGUAAUGUAUGGGGACUGCCUGAUAGAGGGGGAUAACUACUGGACACGGUGGCUAAUACCGCAUACUAGCGGAUAACCCAUAUGGGAGUAGCUUGUGGGUGGGGUAAAGGCCUACCUAGGCGCCGAUCUCUAGCUGGUCUGAGAGGAUGAUCAGCCACACGGGAACUGAGACACGGCCCAGACUCCUACGGAGGCAGCAGGGGGGAAUAUUGCACAAUGGGCGCAAGCCUGAUGCAGCCAUGCCGCGUGUAUGAAGAAGGCCUUAGGGUUGUAAAGUACUUUCAGCGGGGAGGCGUUACCCGCAGAAGAAGCACCGGCUAACUCCGUGCCAGCAGCCGCGGUAAUAC